rnacentral:rRNA from 1 species
GAUGAACGCUGGCGGCGUGCCUAAUACAUGCAAGUCGAGCGAACGGACGAGAAGCUUGCUUCUCUGAUGUUAGCGGCGGACGGGUGAGUAACACGUGGAUAACCUACCUAUAAGACUGGGAUAACUUCGGGAAACCGUAGCUAAUACCGGAUAAUAUUUUGAACCGCAUGGUUCAAAAGUGAAAGACGGUCUUGCUGUCACUUAUAGAUGGAUCCGCGCUGCAUUAGCUAGUUGGUAAGGUAACGGCUUACCAAGGCAACGAUGCAUAGCCGACCUGAGAGGGUGAUCGGCCACACUGGAACUGAGACACGGUCCAGACUCAUACGGGAGGCAGCAGUAGGGAAUCUUCCGCAAAGGGCGAAAGACUGACGGAGCAACGCCGCGUGAGUGAUGAAGGUCUACGGAUCGUAAAACUCUGUUAUUAGGGAAGAACAUAUGUGUAAGUAACUGUGCACAUCUUGACGGUACCUAAUCAGAAAGCCACGGCUAACUACGUG